rnacentral:rRNA from 1 species
AGUGAACGCUGGCGGUAGGCCUAACACAUGCAAGUCGAACGGCAGCACAGUAAGAGCUUGCUCUUACGGGUGGCGAGUGGCGGACGGGUGAGGAAUACAUCGGAAUCUACUUUUUCGUGGGGGAUAACGUAGGGAAACUUACGCUAAUACCGCAUACGACCUACGGGUGAAAGCAGGGGAUCUUCGGACCUUGCGCGAUUGAAUGAGCCGAUGUCGGAUUAGCUAGUUGGCGGGGUAAAGGCCCACCAAGGCGACGAUCCGUAGCUGGUCUGAGAGGAUGAUCAGCCACACUGGAACUGAGACACGGUCAAGACUCCUACGGGAGGCAGCAGUGGGGAAUAUCGGACAAUGGGCGCAAGCAUGAUCCAGCCAUACCGCGUGGGUGAAGAAGGCCUUCGGGUUGUAAAGCCCUUUUGUUGGGAAAGAAAAGCAGCAGGUUAAUACCCCGCUGUUCUGACGGUACCCAAAGAAUAAGCACCGGCUAACUUCGUG